GUCGUCAGCUCGUGUCGUGAGAUGUUGGGUUAAGUCCCGCAACGAGCGCAACCCUCGUUCUAUGUUGCCAGCACGUAAUGGUGGGAACUCAUGGGAUACUGCCGGGGUCAACUCGGAGGAAGGUGGGGAUGACGUCAAAUCAUCAUGCCCCUUAUGUCUUGGGCUUCACGCAUGCUACAAUGGCCGGUACAAUGGGCUGCAAUACCGUGAGGUGGAGCGAAUCCCAAAAAGCCGGUCCCAGUUCGGAUUGAGGUCUGCAACUCGACCUCAUGAAGUCGGAGUCGCUAGUAAUCGCAGAUCAGCAACGCUGCGGUGAAUACGUUCCCGGGUAUUGUACACACCGCCCGUCAAGUCAUGAAAGUCGGUAACACCUGAAGCC
rnacentral:rRNA from 1 species